UCCUAUUCAGUCUUCAGCGCAGUCAGUUC
rnacentral:piRNA from 1 species